AUUGAACGCUGGCGGCAUGCCUUACACAUGCAAGUCGAACGGUAACGCGGGGCAACCUGGCGACGAGUGGCGAACGGGUGAGUAAUGUAUCGGAACGUGCCCAGUUGUGGGGGAUAACUGCUCGAAAGAGCAGCUAAUACCGCAUACGACCUGAGGGUGAAAGCGGGGGAUCGCAAGACCCCGCGCAAUUGGAGCGGCCGAUAUCAGAUUAGGUAGUUGGUGGGGUAAAGGCCCACCAAGCCAACGAUCUGUAGCUGGUCUGAGAGGACGACCAGCCACACUGGGACUGAGACACGGCCCAGACUCCUACGGGAGGCAGCAGUGGGGAAUUUUGGACAAUGGGCGCAAGCCUGAUCCAGCCAUGCCGCGUGCGGGAAGAAGGCCUUCGGGUUGUAAACCGCUUUUGUCAGGGAAGAAACGCUCUGGGCUAAUACCCUGGGGUAAUGACGGUACCUGAAGAAUAAGCACCGGCUAACUAGGUGCCAGCAGCCGCCGUAAGAC
rnacentral:rRNA from 1 species